rnacentral:rRNA from 1 species
AACAGGUUAAUAUUCCUGUACUUGGUGUUACUGCGAAGGGGGGACGGAGAAGGCUAUGUUGGCCGGGCGACGGUUGUCCCGGUUUAAGCGUGUAGGCUGGUUUUCCAGGCAAAUCCGGAAAACCAAGGCUGAGGCGUGAUGACGAGGCACUACGGUGCUGAAGCAACAAAUGCCCUGCUUCCAGGAAAAGCCUCUAAGCAUCAGGUAACAUCAAAUCGUACCCCAAACCGACACAGGUGGUCAGGUAGAGAAUACCAAGGCGCU